UUAAAGGAAGGGAGUGGAAGGAAAUGGAAGGAUCACUUUCCCUCCUAACUUUCCUUCCGAUUUGGGAGGAUUUGAAAAAAAGAAUAAAAUGUUUACCUUUCCUUCCAUUUUUUCUCCGACUCCGUAGAAAAAAAAAAGACAAAUUUGUUUCCUUUCUUUUCUCUUCUCUUCUCUUCUUUGCUUCAACUCGGGAGUGGGGUGUUCAAGAUGGAUUACAUCUAGGUCCGGAUCUUAGCCUAUCUUAGGCUAAGAGGAGAACACCGCCCCUUAGCACUCGCUAGGGGGCUCACCAAGGAGAAGACGCUACAGAGGUAGCGAGAGGAGAGAAGCGGGAGCUUGGCUGUGAUUGGAGAAAGCCUGGAGCCCUAGAUUCGCCAUUUUCUCAGCCACCCGCCUCCAGUUUCAACAUUGAUCGAUUGGAGCCCUAAAUACCUUACCUUUGUGAUUUGUGAUCUGGAUGUUUAAAGGCGAAGAUGAUUAAUUGUUCAUUGAGCACAUAAAGCAACCUUCUGAUCUGAACUUUAAAAAGAUGAAAAACAGAAACAUAAAUGGGAUCACUGAAAUUGUAAAUGGAAUUGGUGGUUUGAGUUUCUUCUUCCCCCCCGAUGACUGAACUGUAUUUUGCUCUUCAAUUUGGAGAUGGAAAACUGAAACGAAAGUGGCAAAGGGCACUAGACAAACUUUUUUUUUCUGGUUCUGAUCAUCUUGGAGUGAAUAAAAAUGAAGAUGGACAACAGAGGCUAUAUAUGUCAAUAUGCCCACCAAGUGUUUGGUAAAAUGCCUAAUUGACAAAAUCAUUCCCAACACUUUUAAAUGGUAUAGAUUGAAGUUCCUCUCCAGCCCAUUGUAAAGUUUUAUUAUGUUGAGAACCAUUCUCAAUUUGUAAAGUUUUAUUAUGUUUUCCAGUCUCAAGUCUCCAUUUAAUGUUUUUUUUCUUGGGUCAAAACAAACAUGAGCUGAUGUUCUUUUCUUCAUAAAGAAAUUUCAAAUCCAAAAUUGGUGAUGUGAGUAA